rnacentral:rRNA from 1 species
GAGAAAUGAAGACGGAAACCUUCGGGCGGAAGGCUUCAUUUCGAGUGGCGGACGGGUGAGUAACGCGUGGGUAACCUGCCUCAUACAGGGGGAUAACAGUUGGAAACGACUGUUAAUACCGCAUAAGACCACAGCACCGCAUGGUGCGGGGGUAAAAACUCCGGUGGUAUGAGAUGGACCCGCGUUCGAUUAGCCAGUUGGCGGGGUAACGGCCCACCAAAGCGACGAUCGAUAGCCGAUCUGAGAGGAUGACCGGCCACAUUGGGACUGAGACACGGCCCAAACUCCUACGGGAGGCAGCAGUGGGGAAUAUUGCACAAUGGGGGAAACCCUGAUGCAGCGACGCCGCGUGAGUGAAGAAGUACUUCGGUAUGUAAAGCUCUAUCAGCAGGGAAGAAAAUGACGGUACCUGAGUAAGAAGCCCCGGCUAACUACGUGCCAGCAGCCGCGGUAAUACGUAGGGGGCAAGCGUUAUCCGGAUUUACUGGGUGUAAAGGGAGCGCAGACGGUUGCGCAAGUCUGAAGUGAAAUCCCGAGGCUUAACCACGGGACUGCUUUGGAAACUGUGCGACUUGAGUAUCGGAGGGGCAGGCGGAAUUCCUAGUGUAGCGGUGAAAUGCGUAGAUAUUAGGAAGAACACCGGUGGCGAAGGCGGCCUGCUGGACGAAAACUGACGUUGAGGCUCGAAGGCGUGGGGAGCAAACAGGAUUAGAUACCCUGGUAGUCCACGCGGUAAACGAUGAAUACUAGGUGUUGGUGCCCCAAGGGCAUCGGUGCCGUCGC